ACCUUAACUAUUUCUUCAACCUUCAAAAGCCUUUCAAAAAGCUUCUUGAUUUUUUGUGUGUUAAAAAAAAAAAAAAAAAAAAAGAAUUUCUGAUUUUGGGCUGCAGAGUCUAGCCUAUUUCUCCCUUACUACACCAUAAAAUUCUCCUUUCCUUCAUCCUAUUUCCUUUUUAAAGUUCCUAUCUGUUGGGUUGUGGGUAUUGAAUUUUGAAUCUGUCUCUUGCUUGCAAAAGAU
rnacentral:lncRNA from 1 species